GCCCACGUAGCUCAGGCGGCAGAGCGUGUCCUUGGUAAGGACAAGGUCACCGGUUCGAGUCCGGUCGUGGGCUCCA
rnacentral:tRNA from 2 species